AGAGUUUUGAGCUUGGAAUUUUGGAAUUCUUCAGGGGUAAACAGUUUUGAGCUUGGAAUUCUUCAGGGGUAUGACAAUGAAAAACAUGUAUCCUCGACAGGGGGGUACGGAUAUUAAAUGGAAUAGCCCAUUAUGUAUAUCACCAGACAGACACGAUCACACGACUACACGAGAAAGAAAUAAAGCCAUCCUUACCUGAAUUAUUCAAAAUAUUGUCGAUCAUUCAUGCCACCGGGCUUUAUUUACCCAUUCAUCUUCACACAUAUUACUCGGAAUUUUAU